GAAAUCAGCCGGUUCUCGCGAAUGCCCCUACGGCUUAAGUUUGAUCAUGGCUCAGAAUCCAACGCUGUAUGCAUGCCUUACACAUGCAAGUCGAACGGCAGCACGGGAGCUUGCUCCUGGUGGCGAGUGGCGAACGGGUGAGUAAUAUAUCGGAACGUACCCUAGAGUGGGGGAUAACGCAGCGAAAGUUGCGCUAAUACCGCAUACGGUCUACGGAUGAAAGUGGGGGAUCGCAAGACCUCAUGCUCAUGGAGCGGCCGAUAUCUGAUUAGCUAGUUGGUGGGGUAAAGGCCUACCAAGGCAUCGAUCAGUAGCUGGUCUGAGAGGACGACCAGCCACACUGGAACUGAGACACGGUCCAGACUCCUACGGGAGGCAGCAGUGGGGAAUUUUGGACAAUGGGCGCAAGCCUGAUCCAGCAAUGCCGCGUGAGUGAAGAAGGCCUUCGGGUUGUAAAGCUCUUUUGUCAGGGAAGAAACGGUGAGGGCUAAUAUCCUUUGCCAAUGACGGUACCUGAAGAAUAAGCACCGGCUAACUACGUGCCAGCAGCCGCGGUAAUACGUAGGGUGCAAGCGUUAAUCGGACUUACUGGGCGUAAAGCAGUGCAGCAAGAGCGGGUUAUGUAAGUCCAGCAUUGUUGNAAAAUUCCCCGGGGCUUCAACCCUGGGAAAUGGCAUUUGAAGAACUGGCUUGGGCUUAGA
rnacentral:rRNA from 1 species